CAGUCGCCGCGGUAAUACGAAGGGUGCAAGCGUUAAUCGGAAUUACUGGGCGUAAAGCGUGCGUAGGCGGUUUGUUAAGUCUGCUGUGAAAUCCCCGGGCUCAACCUGGGAAUGGCAGUGGAUACUGGCAAGCUAGAGUGUGUCAGAGGAUGGUGGAAUUCCCGGUGUGGCGGUGAAAUGCGUAGAGAUCGGGAGGAACAUCAGUGGCGAAGGCGGCCAUCUGGGACAACACUGACGCUGAGGCACGAAAGCGUGGGGAGCAAACAGGAUUAGAUACCCGAGUAGUCCCUGUCUUUAUACA
rnacentral:rRNA from 1 species